GGCUCAGGACGAACGCUGGCGGCGUGCUUAACACAUGCAAGUCGAACGAUGAACCCGGAGCUUGCUCUGGGGGAUUAGUGGCGAACGGGUGAGUAACACGUGAGUAACCUGCCCUGGACUCUGGGAUAAGCGUUGGAAACGACGUCUAAUACCGGAUAGGACCUUGGAUCGCAUGAUCUGGGGUGGAAAGUUUUUUCGGUCUGGGAUGGACUCGCGGCCUAUCAGCUUGUUGGUGAGGUAAUGGCUCACCAAGGCGUCGACGGGUAGCCGGCCUGAGAGGGUGACCGGCCACACUGGGACUGAGACACGGCCCAGACUCCUACGGGAGGCAGCAGUGGGGAAUAUUGCACAAUGGGCGAAAGCCUGAUGCAGCAACGCCGCGUGCGGGAUGACGGCCUUCGGGUUGUAAACCGCUUUUAGUAGGGAAGAAGGGCUUCGGCUGAC
rnacentral:rRNA from 1 species